rnacentral:snoRNA from 1 species
CAGGAGUGAUGAUGCUGAGAAAUGGUUUCGCUUUAUGGGCUGAUGACAUCAUAUGAUGUCACUAUUUCUCUUGGCUGUCUGACUAA